rnacentral:rRNA from 1 species
UACGUAGGUGGCAAGCGUUGUCCGGAUUUACUGGGCGUAAAGGGCGUGCAGGCGGCUUGUUAAGUGCAGGGUGAAAGCUCCCGGCUCAACUGGGAGAGGUUCUUGCAUACUGGCGAGCUCGAGGGAGGCAGAGGAGAGUGGAAUUCCCGGUGUAGUGGUGAUAUGCGUAGAUAUCGGGAGGAACACCUGUGGCGAAGGCGGCUUUCUGGGCCUUACCUGACGCUGAGACGCGAAAGCGUGGGGAGCGAACCGG